rnacentral:rRNA from 1 species
GAUGAACGCUGGCGGCGUGCCUAAUACAUGCAAGUCGAGCGAACAGACGAGGAGCUUGCUCCUCUGACGUUAGCGGCGGACGGGUGAGUAACACGUGGAUAACCUACCUAUAAGACUGGGAUAACUUCGGGAAACCGGAGAUAAUACCGGAGAAUAUAUUGAACCGCAUGGUUCAAUAGUGAAAGACGGUUUUGCUGUCACUUAUAGAUGGAUCCGCGCCGCAUUAGCUAGUUGGUAAGGUAACGGCUUACCAAGGCAACGAUGCGUAGCCGACCUGAGAGGGUGAUCGGCCACACUGGAGCUGAGACACGGUCCAGACUCCUACGGGAGGCAGCAGUAGGGAAUCUUCCGCAAUGGGCGAAAGCCUGACGGAGCGACGCCGCGUGAGUGAUGAAGGUCUUCGGAUCGUAAAACUCUGUUAUUAGGGAAGAACAAAUGUGUAAGUAACUAUGCACGUCUUGACGGUACCUAAUCAGAAAGCCACGGCUAACUACGUG